UACAACUACUUAUUCAUACAAAUCAUUAUAAUUUCAUAAGUAAUAGCUACAUACUAUACUAUUAUUCAUAACUGGUUAGAGAUUCUAAUACCCGUAACAUUUUGGAAAAGCAUAAUGUUAUUUAUCUUUCUUAAAAAAAUCUUCUACUCUAAGACUUAAAUUAUCAAAUAAAUUUAUCACCACUAGAUUUUUCUCUAAAAAGCUUACCCAUCUAAUCCUACAUUUAUUUUUAUAUACUGUUAAAAUAAGUAAAUUAUUACUAUUCCCCUUUCCAACUCGACCCUCUUUAAGGAGCCUGUUUAACAAAAACAUAGCCUACUAUUUAACUUAGGUACAACCCUGCCCUCUGACUUUUAACAGCCGCGGUAUCCUAACCGUGCUAAGGUAGCAUAAUCACUUGCCUAUUAAUUAUAGGCUAGAAUGAACGGGAUCACUCACUUAAACUUAUUUUUAUUUAAAUUUAAAUUAAACUUUAAGUCAAAAUACUAAAUUAAAAAGAAAGACAAAAAGACCCUGAAAACUAUUAGAAAUAAUUAGUUGGGGCAACUAAAGACCACUCUAGCGUCUAUUUUUUUUUAACUCUUAAAAUCUAAAGUAUCCAGUUACUUCAGGGAUAACAGACUAAUUUUAUUAUUUAGACCCAAUAAAUAAUAAAGAUUGGCACCUCGAUGUUGGCUUAUAUUUCCUUCAUAUAGCAACAUAUAUAGAAGGCAGCU
rnacentral:rRNA from 1 species